rnacentral:rRNA from 1 species
AGAGGGUGCAAGCGUUAAUCGGAAUUACUGGGCGUAAAGCGCGCGUAGGCGGAUAUUUAAGUCGGAUGUGAAAGCCCUGGGGCUCAACCUGGGAACUGCAUUCGAUACUGGAUAUCUAGAGUAUGGUAGAGGAAAGUAGAAUUCCUGGUGUAGCGGUGAAAUGCGUAGAUAUCAGGAGGAAUACCAGUGGCGAAGGCGGCUUUCUGGACCAAUACUGACGCUGAGGUGCGAAAGCGUGGGGAGCAAACAGGAUUAGAGACCCUGGUAGUCCACGCCGUCAACGAUGAGAACUAGCCGUUGGGAGGCAUGACCUCUUAGUGGCGAAGCUAACGCGUUAAGUUCUCCGCCUGGGGAGUACGGCCGCAAGGUUA